AAUCGCACACCCUAGUAGAAAACUUGGAGCCGGAAAACGCGCGCUUUCUUUUUUUAAAUGAGAGUUGUGUUCAAUCAAAAGUGUUAUUUUGAAAUUUUUCAUUUCAAAUUAUUCUUAAUUACGAUGGUUUGCAUAAAACUAUCAACAGCACCAAGCUUAGACAAUCAAUUCCAACAAAAUGACAAUAUAUAUGGAGAAGAGUACUUGAGUAGAAUACAAUGACAUACAGACUUAGAGCGAUAAAGAGUUACUCUCAGAUACAGAUUACACAGAAAAGGAAAAGAAAACAAAAUGGACAGGACAAAACCAGACCUGAAUUAAAAAAGCAGAAGAAAGGCAAAAAAGGAAAUACGAAGAACAUGACAACUAGACGCACCAUAUAUAGCUCAUAUGUAUAUGGGUAUAUAUGUCAAAAGAAACAGAUAUUUUAUUUUAUAAUACAG